rnacentral:rRNA from 1 species
CCUACGGGUGACAGCAGUGAGGAAUAUUGGUCAAUGGGCGCGAGCCUGAACCAGCCAAGUAGCGUGAAGGAUGACUGCCCUACGGGUUGUAAACUUCUUUUAUAAAGGAAUAAAGUGAGGCACGUGUGCCUUUUUGUAUGUACUUUAUGAAUAAGGAUCGGCUAACUCCGUGCCAGCAGCCGCGGUAAUACGGAGGAUCCGAGCGUUAUCCGGAUUUAUUGGGUGUAAAGGGUGCGUAGACGGGUUGUAAAGUCAGUUGUGAAAGGUGCAGGCUCAACCGUAAAAUUGCAAUUGAUACUGGCAAGCUGGAAUGCGGUAGAGGUAAAGGGAAUUCGUGGUGUAGCGGUGAAAUGCUUAGAUAUCAGGAGGAACAUCGGUGGCGUAAGCGCUUUACUGGGCCGUAAUUGACGCUGAGGAACGAAAGUGAGGGUAGCAAAUGGGAUUAGAUACCCCUGUAGUC